GCACCAGAUGAGUUUGAAGUGAGAGGUGAUGGUAACAUCAGGUUGAAACAACGUCUGAACUACAACAACGCUCAACAGUACAUCUUCACUGUGGAAGCGAGAGAUAAAGGAGGACUCAGUGACACAACAACAGCUACAAUAACGGUUGAAGAUUUUGACAAUCUAAACCCUUAUUUUGAUCACAGUCUCUAUAAAGCAUCUAUUGAGGAAAACCAGGCGGGACAAUUGUCAGACGUCACUCCUGAGGAAAUAAAAGCUCAAGAUGGCGACACAGGCGUCAACGAGCCUGUCGUUUACAGCAUAA